rnacentral:ncRNA from 1 species
ACCAAGGAACCAUAAGGUACUACACGUGAGCUCAAAACAUAAAUUUUGCAUUAGUUUUGAUUUUUGAGGCAUCACAACAUACCAGUCGGGACGCAAAAGAUGGUAAACUAUGCCUGAGAGAGGCAAAGCUAAGACAAAACUCUGGUGGAGGCCUACAAUGAUACUGAUAUGCAAAUCAUUCAUCUAACUUAGGUAUAGGGGUUAAAGACUAAUCGAAUCGUCUAGUAGCUGGUUCUCUCUAAAGUUUCCCUCAGUAUAGCUAGAGCUCGUGUGCGACUUGUAUCGAGUAAAGACAAUAAUUAAAGUCCUCAAGGGUGAAACACCAUCAAACUAUUCUAAAACUUUUAAUAGGUAGGAUAACGCGGCUACUUUAUAUAGCCAUUCCUCAAAAUCAAGAGCUCCAAGUGGGCUAUUUUUGGUAAGCAGAACUGGCAAUGCAGGAUGAAUCGAAAGAUGGGUUAUGGUGCCAAACUACAUAGUAAUCUACAUCCCAUAAAGAGUGUUGGUCGAUUAAGAUUGAAAGCAUGUGCUCAUUGAAAUUGAAACUUGCUAAGGAGUAUGUAACUACACACCUAUUGAAUUAACAAGCCUCAAAAAUGGAUGACACUUAACUGUGCGAGCUACACCUGACCGUCGACGCUAGUGCCAAGCCCCGAUGAGUAGGAGGGCACGACAGUCACUCUAAAAGCUUAGGAGUGAGCCUGGGUGGAUUGAUCAUUGGUGCAUUUCUUGGUGGUAGUAGCAAAUAUUCAAAUGAGAACUUUGAAUUAUGGAGAGGGGAAAGGUUCUACAUGAAUGGCACUUGCACUUGGGUUAGUCGAUCCUAAGGGUUGGGGAUCCUCUAAAAGAUAGCGCGUGCUUCAAAAGGUAAUUGGGUAAAAAUUCCUGAACCAAGAUAUGGUACUCGACAGCAAUAUUAGAAAGUCUGGAGAUAUUGGCGAGAGUCUGGGGAAUAGUUAUCUUUUCUAUUUAAUAGCCUGCCCAUCCUGGUAUCAGCUCAGUUGGAGGUAGGGUCCAGUGGCUGGAAGAGCACCGCUCAUUGCGUGGUGUUCGGUGUGCUCCUAGCAACCCUUGAAAAUCUACAGGACCAAAUACCUUCCAUACCUUAUCAUACUCAUAACCGCAUCAGGUCUCCAAGGUGAACAAUCUCUGGUC